GGAGCCAGUGUAUGAUCAGCAAUGAACCCUAUUUAACACACAUGAGGUGCUGAAAAUAAAGAGCGGAAAGACAAAUAUUGCAUGCUAAAUAGCAGUUAUCUUCAAAUGAUAGGAUCAUUGAAUAUUUUCAUAUUUUCGUUUAAGUUUUUACUAAGGGUUAAUAAAUAUAAUAGCACUGUUAUCUCUUAAAAUAAAAAUUGUUAGAAAGGCUAAAUAAAUAAAUACAAUAGCAUAUGUUGGCCAUAAUGUAAUAUUUUGUCUGAAUCAAGCUUGUUCCUUAUCACGUAGAAAAUCUUGUAGAUGGGGUCAUAGUUAGGGUAGCACUACUUGUCAAUUGUGGGAGGAAAUGACUUUGGAAGGGGUGAACAAGGGAGGGCAAGAUGGCUGAGGUCUGAUUAGAAAGGAGGAGCCCUGAAAAGCUGCGGGGAAACAUAGCCUGUCCUGUGUGGUGUGCCAUGUUUGAGAUGAACUAUUCCAGGUGGCCUGGAGCUACAAACCCAAAGGCCCUGAUUUCCUUUGUUUUCUGUUCCUGUCCUUUUCCUGCCACCGUCCUCCUUUACUCACAUUGUAGUAUGCCCCUGAGUUGUUAAUGAGCAACACCACCAGGUACUGACAGUCACUUUGCAUCCUUCUAGGGCCUGCUCUUCAACAGGAGGACCCUUCCGUGGAUGCUGCAGAGGACAAGGAAGCUGCAGGACUGCAGCAAGCUGAUCAACAAGAGUACCCUGCAGCAGCAUUUCCCUAUAUAGAACUCUUUCCGGGAUCCCUCUCGCUUACCACAGAAGAGUCAUC